AACGAACGCUGGCGGCGCGCUUAACACAUGCAAGUCGAACGAGAAGGCGUAGCAAUACGCUUGUACAGUGGCGAACGGGUGAGGAAUACAUGGGUAACCUACCCUCGAGUGGGGGAUAACCCGCCGAAAGGCGGGCUAAUACCGCGUACGCUUCCGAUCUUGCGGGAUUGGAAGGAAAGCUGUCCCUUGGGGAUGGCGCUCAAGGAUGGGCUCAUGUCCUAUCAGCUUGUUGGAGGGUAACGGCCUCCCAAGGCAUCGACGGGUAGCUGGUCUGAGAGGACGAUCAGCCACACUGGCACUGCGACACGGGCCAGACUCCUACGGGAGGCAGCAGUGAGGAAUAUUGCGCAAUGGGCGAAAGCCUGACGCAGCGACGCCGCGUUGGGGGAUGAAGGGUCUUCGGAUUGUAAAACCCCCUUUUCGGGAGGGAAGACGGCCUUAGACAACUAAGGCGGACGGUACCUCAGAGCAGCCACGGCUAACUUCGUGCCAGCAGCCGCGGU
rnacentral:rRNA from 1 species